rnacentral:rRNA from 1 species
CCGACUGCGCGCAGCCUGAUGCAGCCACGCCGCGUGUAUGAGAAGGCCUUCGGGUUGUAAAGUUCUUUCAGCGGGGAGGAAGGGAGUAAAGUUAAUACCUUUGCUCAUUGACGUUACCCGCAGAACAAGCACCGGCUAACUACGUGCCAGCAGCCGCGGUAAUA